rnacentral:rRNA from 1 species
UACGUAGGUGGCAAGCGUUGUCCGGAUUUACUGGGUGUAAAGGGCGUGCAGCCGGGCUGACAAGUCAGAUGUGAAGUCCCGCGGCUCAACCGCGGAACUGCAUUUGAAACUGUCAGUCUUGAGUACCGGAGAGGUCAUCGGAAUUCCUUGUGUAGCGGUGAAAUGCGUAGAUAUAAGGAAGAACACCAGUGGCGAAGGCGGAUGACUGGACGGCAACUGACGGUGAGGCGCGAAAGCGUGGGGAGCAAACAGG